CGUCACAUUAAACCCUCUCAAAUUCUCAAUCUAUCCGCACAUGUAUAGCUCAUGAAUUUUUAUAGUUAUCAAAACUCACCAAUUCUCUUUUGUGAGCUUUCAACUAAUUAUCUCAGUUCAUCAACUUGAGCCAACAGUACUAACAUGUCUCUAAUAACAAUUGUGCACAUAAAUUGUAUUGAACUUUUUAUCAAACAGAGAGAGACAAAGAGAUAACCAACAAUAAUAAAAAUUACAAACUUCCAAACAUAUGUAGUACCUCCUUAAGGAUCAUAAAUUGUGCACAUAAAAAAAAAAGAAAAAGUAGCUUCAAG
rnacentral:lncRNA from 1 species